rnacentral:rRNA from 1 species
UAAUACGAAGGGUGCAAGCGUUACUCGGAAUUACUGGGCGUAAAGCGUGCGUAGGUGGUUUGUUAAGUCUGAUGUGAAAGCCCUGGGCUCAACCUGGGAAUUGCAUUGGAUACUGGCAGGCUAGAGUGCGGUAGAGGGUAGUGGAAUUCCCGGUGUAGCAGUGAAAUGCGUAGAGAUCGGGAGGAACAUCUGUGGCGAAGGCGACUACCUGGACCAGCACUGACACUGAGGCACGAAAGCGUGGGGAGCAAACAGGAUUAGAUACCCUGGUAGUCCACGCCCUAAACGAUGCGAACUGGAUGUUGGGUGCAAUUUGGCACUCAGUAUCGAAGCUAACGCGUUAAGUUCGCCGCCUGGGGAGUACGGUCGCAAGACUG